UACAGAGGUCCCAAGCGUUGUUCGGAUUCACUGGGCGUAAAGGGUGCGUAGGUGGCGAGGUAAGUCGGAUGUGAAAUCUCGGAGCUCAACUCCGAAACGGCAUUGGAAACUACCUUGCUAGAGGGUUGGAGGGGGGACUGGAAUUCUCGGUGUAGCAGUGAAAUGCGUAGAUAUCGAGAGGAACACCAGUGGCGAAGGCGGGUCUCUGGACAGUUCCUGACGCUGAGGCACGAAGGCCAGGGGAGCAAACGGG
rnacentral:rRNA from 1 species